CCUACGGGAGGCUGCAGUGGGGAAUAUUGGGCAAUGGGCGCAACCCUGACGCAGCAACGCCGCGUGAAGGAAGAAGUCAUUCGGGAUGUAAACUUCUAUCGACAGGGAAGAGUAUAAGACUGUAUCUGUCGAAUACGCCACGGCAAACUACGUGCCCGCAGGCGGGGUUAUACGUAGGUGGCAAGCGUUGUCCGGAUGUACUGUGUGUAAAGGGCGUGUAGCCGGGUUGACAAGUCAGAUGUGAAAUCCUGCGGCUUAACCGAGGAACUGCAGUUGAAACUGUUGAUCUUGAGUACUGGAGAGGCAGACGGAAUUCCUAGUGUAGCGGUGAAAUGCGGAGAUAUUAGGAGGAACACCAGUGGCGAAGGCGGUCUGCUGGACAGCAACUGACGGUGAGGCGCGAAAGCGUGGGGAGCAAACAGGAUUAGAUACCCGAGUAGUC
rnacentral:rRNA from 1 species